rnacentral:rRNA from 1 species
AGUGAACGCUGGCGGUAGGCCUAACACAUGCAAGUCGAACGGCCGCACAGCAAGAGCUUGCUCUUACGGGUGGCGAGUGGCGGACGGGUGAGGAAUACAUCGGAAUCUACUUUUUCGUGGGGGAUAACGUAGGGAAACUUACGCUAAUACCGCAUACGACCUACGGGUGAAAGCAGGGGAUCUUCGGACCUUGCGCGAUUGAAUGAGCCGAUGUCGGAUUAGCUAGUUGGCGGGGUAAAGGCCCACCAAGGCGACGAUCCGUAGCUGGUCUGAGAGGAUGAUCAGCCACACUGGAACUGAGACACGGUCCAGACUCCUACGGGAGGCAGCAGUGGGGAAUAUUGGACAAUGGGCGCAAGCCUGAUCCAGCCAUACCGCGUGGGUGAAGAAGGCCUUCGGGUUGUAAAGCCCUUUUGUUGGGAAAGAAAAGCAGCAGGUUAAUACCCCGCUGUUCUGACGGUACCCAAAGAAUAAGCACCGGCUAACUUCGUG